rnacentral:rRNA from 1 species
CCUACGGGCGGCAGCAGUGGGGAAUAUUGGACAAUGGGGUGAACCCUGAUCCAGCCAUGCCGCGUGUGUGAAGAAGGCCCUCGGGUUGUAAAGCACUUUCAGUGAGGAAGAACGCCUGGUGGUUAAUACCCAUCAGGAAAGACAUCACUCACAGAAGAAGCACCGGCUAACUCCGUGCCAGCAGCCGCGGUAAUACGGAGGGUGCGAGCGUUAAUCGGAAUUACUGGGCGUAAAGCGCGCGUAGGUGGCUUGAUAAGCCGGUUGUGAAAGCCCCGGGCUCAACCUGGGAACGGCAUCCGGAACUGUCAAGCUAGAGUGCAGGAGAGGAAGGUAGAAUUCCCGGUGUAGCGGUGAAAUGCGUAGAGAUCGGGAGGAAUACCAGUGGCGAAGGCGGCCUUCUGGACUGACACUGACACUGAGGUGCGAAAGCGUGGGUAGCAAACAGGAUUAGAUACCCGGGUAGUC